AUACUUUUCUCAGCCUUUUGGCUACGAUAAAGUGUAGUAUCUGUUCUUAUCAGUCUAGUACUGAUAUGUGAGCCAUCGGCUCACACGAUAUUAGAUUAAUUUUUUUCAUGGGGGAGUUCCGAUCAGUUUCUCAAGCGUCUCUCAAGCAUCGCCUCUGCUUUGCACUACUGCAAAGGCCUGGCGCACCCCCA